rnacentral:misc_RNA from 1 species
UCCGGUUUGACACCGGCAGUCCGCCUAGAGUGCUCAGCUUUACCUGGUAGCAACUAAGCGCAAGGGUUUCGCUCGUUACGGGACUUAACCCAACAUCUCACGACACGAGCUGACGACAGCCAUGCAACACCUGUGGUCGCUUCCCCGGGAGGGGAUCUCACGCUGUUUCCAGCAGAUACUACGACCAUGUCAAACCCGGGUGAGGUUCUUCGCGUUGCUUCGAAUUAAGCAACAUGCUCCACCGCUUGUGUGAGCCCCCGUCAAUUCCUUUGAGUUUUAGUCUUGCGACCGUACUUCCCAGGCGGGGUGCUUAAGACAUUUGCUCCAGCAGUGACCGCAUAGGAACGACCACUACCUAGCACCCAUCGUUUACGGCUAGGACUAC